UCUGCAAGUGAACGUACAGACAUGCUAUGCAGAUUUGAUAGACAAACAGAUGUGAUAAUCUGUAUGUACAUACAUAUUCGCAUGUACGUAUCAUCAAGCAGCAAUACAAAAACGAGGAACAAGGCUACGCUAACCUAGAGUCGAAUAUUUCUCCCAGCUUUUCACAAAACCAGAUACGAUAAUAUAAAUACAGAUACGUUUAUUUCAGAAAUUAAUACCUAAUAAUAUUUAAGAAAAGGUUAAAGAACGAUUUUACAUAAAAUGCAUAAAAUAAAAUUUUUAAAUAAAAUUUUUAAAAUUUUUUACAUAAAAUUAUACGAAUGCAUUUUGCAUUUGUAUAAUUAUAUUUUUUAAUUAAUUAAAGAAUGUAAGAUUUAAAACAAACAUUACUGGAACCUGCGUUUAAAAAAUUUAAAAUAUCUGCAAAUACUCCUUAAAGUAAUCUUGGGAUGGAAAUUCAGCAAGGAUUUACACAUCAGUCCAACACGUGCCUUGUUGAACAGGUCGUGACCAUAAUUUGCAAAUAUUUGCCCGUCCAGGACAUCAAGAAUGCAAGGUUAAUUAGCAAAGUGUGGAAUUAUGGGGCAUCGUACCGCCUAAAGGAAGUUACCCGACUGUAUCUUGACUUUGACCAUAAAAAUUUUGACCUGAAUUUAAUUAAGCAACAAUUAAAUUUCCGACCACACCACGUGACCAUCCUUGUCCGAGGCCUUACCCCGAUGAAGGGAGGAUUACCAUGUCAACCGGAAGUCCUGGUUCCGUCCGGACUGAAUUUAAAAAGUUUAUGGAUAACUGGCUUCGCACGGAGUAAUAUGAAAGAUGUCGAGGUGCUAAUUGUUGGCGAAAUUUUUGCAAAAAGUUACACAACCCUAGAAGAGAUUAAAUACUAUGGGUAUAUCUGGCCAAAAUUUGGGGAGGAGGUGGUAUUCAAAAAAGUGAAGAGGUUGGCUAUACGUUCCCUCCACUGGGGACAAUUAUCCCACGUGUCGCAAAUUUUUCUUAACACGUGUCCCAACUUGGAGCGCCUAGAGAUGGAUUAUUCCGGAAGGAGCUUGUGGAAGAAGAAUCCUACUCAUUUUCCAGGGUAAAUUUGCACACACUAAAUAAAUUUGGAGCUCCUUAACAAGUUUAAUCUUCACCACGGAAUUCCUCCAAGAUACCUGGAUUUCCAAAAAUUUCGCCCAAAGACUUUUAAACUUCCCGAAUCCUCUCCGAGUCCUGCACUUUUAUCAAUACUUUGACGAAACCGAUCCGGAACCCUGGUUCUUUCGGCUGCUGCACAAACAUCACGGCACCCUUACCGAUCUCGGUGUCACGUUAACGGGUUAUUCUCCAGACCUCGUCCUUCCCCCACUUCCGGUUCUGGAAUCUCUGGAUAUUAGUACCCGUGGGGAUUACGACGUUUGGUGGGCGGACGAGGUCAACCCCACGGAAAGGGUGGACUAUUCAAAAUUUUUACCGAAAUUAGCCCGCCUUCAUUUAAAAUGUGGCGCAGGCGUGGAAAGUUUCGACUUGCUGGAUUCCUUCGUGCCGAACGAGCUGAAGGACUAUGUCGGACCGGAGUGCAGAACUGUGAGGGAGGUUUUUAUCCAGGAAAAUCCGGAGACCCCGGAAACAUUGAUGGAACGGUUGUAUCAGUACGGGUUUUUGCGAAGGGUUUGGCCAGAAGCGGAAAUCAAGUGGCAUACUGUGUUCAAAACUACUCCAAUCAAUAUGGAUACAUAAGUGCUCACUUUUGACCAGCUGAUUUUGAAAGAAAUUUAACAUUGUCCAAAUCUGAGAGUUACAUUGGAAAGAGUUACAUUGUUGGGAUAAUUGUCUGAAAAUAAAACUAAUGCAAAGAAACUCCAGUUGUUUGAUUUAAAAUG